GAUGAACGCUAGCUGGAGGCUUAAUACAUGCAAGUCGAGCGGGAUUGGUAGCAAUACCAUGAGAGCGGCGCACGGGUGAGUAACGCGUACACGACCUACCUCUGACAGGGGGAUAGCCCUGGGAAACUGGGAUUAAUACCGCAUAUUAUUCUGAUUAAUAAAGGAUUGGAAUGAAAGUUCAGGCGGUCAGAGAUGGGUGUGCGUCUGAUUAGCUAGUUGGUAGGGUAACGGCCUACCAAGGCGAUGAUCAGUAGGGGGCGUGAGAGCGUGGUCCCCCACACGGGUACUGAGACACGGACCCGACUCCUACGGGAGGCAGCAGUAAGGAAUAUUGGACAAUGGCCGAAAGGCUGAUCCAGCCAUCCAGCGUGCAGGAAGAAGGCUCUAUGGGUUGUAAACUGCUUUUGAAUGGGAAGAACACCAGAUACGAGUAUCUGUCUGCCGGUACCAUACGAAUAAGGAUCGGCUAACUCCGUGCCAGCAGCCGAC
rnacentral:rRNA from 1 species